rnacentral:lncRNA from 1 species
CUUCACUAUAUCCUUGCUGAUAUCAGCAACUAAUGAACAGAAAAUGACAUGACACCUGGCAAGGCCAGGACAUCCACCUGUAACAACAAUCAACUGGAAAAAGUUGGGGAAAAGUACAUCUGACAGCACAAACAGGUGAGAAUAAUCCAAUUCUAAGGUACACAUUACUUUUUCUUUCUGUCUACAUGGCACAUAUCAAGUUCAAAGACAUCCCACCAUGCAGUUAAGCUGUUAAGAAAAUAACCAUUAAAGCCAGUGAAAAUGGUCCAAGCCAGUAGGAAACUCGAGCACCUUAACUCUUCCCAGCAGAAUUUCAAAGUGUUAAAAAUUAAUGCAGUACAGAAUGGGUAAUUACUUCAACUUUCUCUUUUGUACUUACAUUGUUUUUUGUUGAGUAUUCCGCAGACAAAUAUAGAAACAAUUGUUUAACAUUCCAGUCAAAUAUACUCUGCAAAUCUGCAGUGAUGUCAAACGUGACGAACGCCAGAUCACUUCUUUCUCUAGGUCCAGUGAAGUCUUCUACAUUUCUUCUAAGAUAAAACAAAACAAGAUUAUCUUCUCCUUAUUUCUCUCUCACAUUUUAAGCAAAUUAUUAGACUGCGUACUUCCCCCAUGUGUUCCCUGUACUUCCUUACAAAAGCAUUUGGCUAAAAUAUAACCACAUUAUACAACAAAGCCUGCCUUCCAGAAGGCUUAGAGCCCCAGUUUUAAAUGAUGGGUUUUACCCCCACAGAAGUCUAUGUAAAUUAUACAAAAACCCUGAAAUUAUUUUCCAGUUAACAAGCAUUUGCAGUUUUCUGUACCUAAACCACAUCACAUUUCAUUUUUAGCAGAGUGUGCGUUACCUAUCCCCAUCUUCAAAUUUGUAAGCCGAUUGGAAAGCUGGCUCUACAGCUGACAAUCAUUUUAAACAAUAUUUAUUGACUACAUUAGAAAACCUUCAGUGUUUAGUCUCAUACAAGUCACUCCAACCAUUCUGAUUAACUGUCAUUAAUUUUGCAGUUUAAACAACUGAGAGAAUCUCUCCUUGGCAUGUUCAGUCAUUAAGGAGAAAAAGGAGGAAAACACUUAAUUCCUUCUACCUUGUAAAAAUCAUAGACAAGUUUUGGAAGACUUUGCUACAAAUCCACUUUUUGAGAAAUUACCUGACAUUGCCAUAGUAAACUGUGUUUAAAAAAAUAGAAACUGAAAAAUAACACAGGUAUUUAUAUAUAUAUAUUGUUAAAACUUAGUCUACCAAACUUACUGCUACAAGCUUACGCUGCAACAAAAAGCAAGCUGGCAAUGAACCAUGAGCCCUAAUUCCUCAUGUAACAAAGACCUUGGGAAUUAUGAACUUACCAGUUACAUUUAUUCUGCUGUUAAAAUUAGUCUGUUAAAAUGUAAUUUCAUAUAAAAUAAAUUCAGUAAUCUCAGAGGGAAAAAGUAUUAA